rnacentral:rRNA from 1 species
UCUUGACAUCUACAGGAUCCUGCGGAGACGCGGGAGUGCCUUCGGGAACUGUAAGACAAGUGCUGCAUGGCUGUCGUCAGCUCGUGUUGUGAAAUGUUGGGUUAAGUCCCGCAACGAGCGCAACCCUUAUCCUUGUUUGCCAGCGAGUAAUGUCGGGAACUCCAGGGAGACUGCCGGUGAUAAACCGGAGGAAGGUGGGGACGACGUCAAGUCAUCAUGGCCCUUACGAGUAGGGCUACACACGUGCUACAAUGGCGCAUACAGAGGGCGGCGAGCUAGCGAUAGUGAGCGAAUCCCAAAAAGUGCGUCGUAGUCCGGAUUGGAGUCUGCAACUCGACUCCAUGAAGUCGGAAUCGCUAGUAAUCGUGGAUCAGAAUGCCACGGUGAAUACGUUCCCGGGCCUCGUACACACCGCCCGUCACACCAUGGGAGUGGGCUGCAAAAGAAGCAGGUAGUUUAACCUUCGGGAGGACGCUUGCCACUUUGUGGUUCAUGACUGGGGGAAAGUCGUAACAAGGUAACCACUUUCCC